GAGAGCAGCAAAAGCAGAGCCAGCGGACGCAGAGGCAUUGAACAAAUAUGCGACGUUUCUGUGGAGAGCGAGAAACGAUAUUUGGAGAGCGGAGGAAACCUACUUAGAAGCGAUCUCCGCUGAUCCAACAAACUCAGUCUACUCCGCAAACUACGCACAUUUCCUCUGGAACACCGGUGGUGAUGAAACGUGUUU
rnacentral:sRNA from 1 species